AAAAGCUGGAGAUCAGUUUGUGGCAAAGUAAUUGGUUUUCUAAUAAGAUUCAUUUACUGUAUGAAGGAAUAUGUACCCCAAUUUUGUAGCUCUUGUUGGUGUUUCAUAGUUUUGCUGCUGUGGCUGGCUUAGCUGGAGGUGGACAGGCACAUGUACGUCCUCCCCAAUGCUUUGACCAUUUGUGACUACCAAUUCUUUGUUUGCACCAUUGACAUCCCUUGUUCCGUAAACCUGGAUGAGAAACUUUUCUGUUAAGGUUGGUUUUUAGACAUCUCAUAGAUGACAAAUGUUAAUGGCCGAAUCUUUUUAAUAUCUCUAGGAUAAUUUAUAUUGUUAUGAGUCAUUCAAAUUUAUACCUUCUUAUAUAAUUCUGUGUUUUCUUGACGAAUUAGGUUUACCUUCUUAUAGAGUUCCAUAUUUUCUUGAUGAAUGAGAUUACCCUGCAACAAGACAAUGCAAUUUAGGCACUUUGAGCUAAUUCAGUAUGAUAGUAAGUAGUUGAAUGUAUCAUUUCAGGGUUUACCUUUCUGGUCAGUUCUUGAAUUUCAUCCAUUAACAUUUGGUCCUACAGCAGUGGAGUAAAUGUUACCAAACGGCGUUUGCUUUAUUUGGCAUGCUAUUUUGAACUUAAAAACUGACGUGCCAUGGAAAUAGAAUUUUCAAACCUUCUUCAUACGGACACCAUGAAGGCUCAUUUCCAACUGGCUCUCCAAAUUCUGUAAAUCUUUUACGGUCAAUCCAGAAAGUUCCUCACCCAUCAUUUGCCUGUUUUGACGUGCAGGAGCAUAAUUUCAGUAAACAGGAUUUGUUUCGUAGACAAUAAAGCUUUUCAUAGGCAUACACAGGAGAUGCAAUGGACCUUUUAUUUCUUGUCUAUUAUUGGGGCCAUUUUUACUGUUGGUUCAUUCAAUGCUUUAAGGUUAGAUAUGGAUCUGCCUUUUUUAGAACAGAAGUUCAUGUCUAGGACCAUCAGUCUGUGUGUUAUUGAAGAACAAUUGAUUCAUUCAAUCUGAUCUUCAAAGAUAUGAACCAUAGCAUAAAGGAUAGAACAUCCUAAGCAUAAUUGCAUCAUAAAAGGCUGGAACAGUGUUACAACAGGUUGAAGGAGAAAGCUAUUUUGCUAUUCAUGUAAUUGGUUGAAAUGCAGGAGACUGUCUAUGUUGAAUUGAAUCAUGGGCAUAUUUUUUGUGUUCUGCAGAUUGCAUAAUGUAAAAUUGGUUUCUUGAUUCUGCAUUUUUGGCUUAAUGUACUCUUAUUCACGUUUGAUAUAGUGAUUUAUAUGGUAUAAAAAUUAAAAUACCUGUGAUUUUCUUGCAGGUUUUGCAGUUGUUGUCUAAGAACUGCUGCCUCCCUUUGCCAUAACUGAAAAAUAAGAUUUUGCAGUUGUUGAUACAAUGGUACGAUUCAGUCACAGAAUUUAUUGCUCAAAGUUUGAAUGUGCAUAUUAAUAAAUUCAACAAUGAAACAUUACCAUAACAAUGCAUAUUUUUAGACCUGACACUGCUAUAGAUGUAAGGUAAUUCACAAAAGAAUCAAACACAUUUAGGUCCAAGGCUCUUGCUAGAUUCUUUUUUAAAUCUUGUAAAGGAAGUUGUUUUAUGUAUUAAAUUAAUGAGUUAGUCAAACCAGGAUUUUGAUACUUUAAUUAUUUGGAUGAUAAGUCACUUAUCAUGUCCUUGGUGUACUUGUCAAAGUUAUGCACACUAUCAGCUACUUAGUUCUUUCUCUGGAUGCUUGAUUCAUUUUUUGAAUCCUUAUCAAGCAACUUAGCUAGUAAAAUUAGGCUGUUAGGGCCAGCUUUUCAAAAUCCCAUGGGAAAUUUAUAUCAACUGAGAGUCUGACAGAUGCUGUUUAUUGUAGAAAUUGCAAAUUGCAAAAAUUGUUCUUGAAGUAAUAGAGCUUCUAUUUGGAGAUCAGAGAAUGCUUUUGGCUUAUAUCACUGGUAAAAAGUUUUAAGGCAUAUAAAAGAGAUGGAAAAAUGAAUGCAAAAGUAGAUAGAUCAUAGAUGAGUCUCUGGAUUGAUCUAGAAGCAGUAAAAUGUUUAAAGGCAUAAACGAGAUGGAGAUAUGAAUGUGAAAGUAGAUAGAUCAUGGAUGAGUCUCUGGAUUUGAUCUAGAUUCAAGAAAUACAAGAUAUAUUUACCCUUGGAGUAUGCUGUUGAUUUGGAGCUGUUUGUUGAUAUGAAUUAUUGGAUUAAGCUUUUGCAUUUUUUGAUACAUAAAAGAGAUGAAGAUAUAUCUUCUCAAGAAAAUUGUGAGAUCUCUAGGCAAAGGGGUAAGGAUUAUCCUACUUUAUAACGUUAACUGUUUGUUGAAUGCUAAUUAUAG
rnacentral:lncRNA from 1 species